rnacentral:rRNA from 1 species
CCUACGGGUGGCAGCAGUGAGGAAUAUUGGUCAAUGGGCGCGAGCCUGAACCAGCCAAGUCGCGUGAGGGAAGACGGUCCUAUGGAUUGUAAACCCCUUUUGGCGGGGAGCAAAAGACGCCACUCGUGGCGUUCCGCGAGUACCCGAAGCAAAAGCAACGGCUAACUCCGUGCCAGCACCCGCGGUAAUACGGAGGAUGCGAUCGUUAUCGGGAUUGAUUGUGGUGAAAGGGUGAGCAGGCGGAAGAUAAGCUCAGCGGGAAAAUUGAGAGGCUAAACCUCUUCGAGCAGUUGAGACAGGUUUUCUUGAGUGAGUGAGAAGGAUGCGGAAUGCGUGGUGUAGCGGUGAAAUGCAUAGAUA